GUCCACGCCGUAAACGAUGAUAACUAGCUGUCCGGGCACAUGGUGCUUGGGUGGCGCAGCUAACGCAUUAAGUUAUCCGCCUGGGGAGUACGGUCGCAAGAUUAAACUCAAAGGAAUUGACGGGGGCCUGCACAAGCGGUGGAGCAUGUGGUUUAAUUCGAAGCAACGCGCAGAACCUUACCAGCCUUUGACAUCCCGCGCUAACCUGAGAGAUCAGGGGUUCCCUUCGGGGACGCGGUGACAGGUGCUGCAUGGCUGUCGU
rnacentral:rRNA from 1 species